CCUACGGGUGGCAGCAGUGGGGAAUAUUGCACAAUGGGGGAAACCCUGAUGCAGCGACGCCGCGUGAGUGAAGAAGUAUUUCGGUAUGUAAAGCUCUAUCAGCAGGGAAGAAAAUGACGGUACCUGAUUAAGAAGCCCCGGCUAACUACGUGCCAGCAGCCGCGGUAAUACGUAGGGGGCAAGCGUUAUCCGGAUUUACUGGGUGUAAAGGGAGCGUAGACGGCAGUGCAAGUCUGAAGUGAAAGGCCGGGGCUUAACCCCGGGACUGCUUUGGAAACUGUGCAGCUGGAGUGCAGGAGAGGUAAGUGGAAUUCCUAGUGUAGCGGUGAAAUGCUUAGAUAUUACGAAGAACACCGAUUGCGAAGGCAGCUCACUGGACUGGAACUGACGCUGAGGCUCGAAAGCGUGGGUAUCAAACAGGAUUAGAUACCCUAGUAGUC
rnacentral:rRNA from 1 species